CUUAUACUCAAGUAUAUACGGGGUGUGUGUGUGUGUGUGUGUGUGUGUGUGUGUGUAUAUAUAUAUAUACACACACACCCACACACA
rnacentral:miRNA from 11 species